rnacentral:rRNA from 1 species
UACGAAGGGGGCUAGCGUUGCUCGGAAUCACUGGGCGUAAAGCGCACGUAGGCGGCUUUCUAAGUCAGGGGUGAAAUCCUGGAGCUCAACUCCAGAACUGCCCUUGAUACUGGGAAGCUCGAGUCCGGAAGAGGUGAGUGGAACUGCGAGUGUAGAGGUGAAAUUCGUAGAUAUUCGCAAGAACACCAGUGGCGAAGGCGGCUCACUGGUCCGGUACUGACGCUGAGGUGCGAAAGCGUGGGGAGCAAACAGG